rnacentral:rRNA from 1 species
CGUCUCAGUUCGGAUUGUAGUCUGCAACUCGACUACAUGAAGCUGGAAUCGCUAGUAAUCGCGGAUCAGAAUGCCGCGGUGAAUACGUUCCCGGGUCUUGUACACACCGCCCGUCACACCAUGGGAGUCGGAAAUGCCCGAAGUCUGUGACCGAACCGAAAGGAAGGAGCAGCCGAAGGCAGGUCGGAUGACUGGGGUGAAGUCGUAACAAGGUAGC